rnacentral:snRNA from 1 species
GUGCUUGCUUCAGCAGCACAUAUACUAAAAUUGGAACACACAGAGAAGAUUAGUAUGGCCCCUGUGCAAGGAUGACACAAAUUCAUUAAGCAUUCCACAAUAUUUUU